rnacentral:rRNA from 1 species
AGCUCCAAUAGCGUAUACUAAAGUUGUUGCAGUUAAAAAGCUCGUAGUUGAAUUUCUGGCCGUGAAUUUCGGUCCGUCCCGUGAGGGUUGUGUACCAGGAAUUUGCGGCCAUCCUCGAGGAAAAUAUAUCUGGUAUUCAGUUACUGGGUAUAGGACCCUCGUCAUUUACUGUGAGCAAAAUAGAGUGUUCAAAGCAGGCUUAUGCCGUUGAAUAUAUUAGCAUGGAAUAAUAAGAUAAGACCUUGGUCUAUUUUGUUGGUUUGCUGUCCAAGGUAAUGAUUAAUAGGGAUAGUUGGGGGUAUUCGUAUUCAAUUGUCAGAGGUGAAAUUCUUGGAUUUAUGGAAGACGAACUACUGCGAAAGCAUUUACCAAGGAUGUUUUCA